ACAUUGUUUUAUUUAAAAUCUGCAGUCCCCUUCCACAUCAGCUGGGGGCGAUAAUGAGCGUUGUUCGAUUGUUGUUUUUUAACGAGAAGAAGAAAAUGAAUCUGUAACCCGGAAGUUAAACUUCACAACAAAAAAAUUGCCUGGAAAUCUUCUCCGUGAAACCAUCUCAGGCAGCCAAUGGACUUUUUAUUUCUCAUCUCAUUUUCUCAUUUUUUAUUUCAUUUGAGUAAAUAGUGCUUUUGUCUUGAGACUUGUGUAGAACCACAGUGUCUCUCAACGUGGGUUUAACAUGGACGAAUAUGACUAACUGUUCGAGAUCCAAGAUGAGUUCGAGGACCAGUUCGCAGACGAGCUGGAGGUUCUGGCUCAGAUGGAGGGGGAGUCCCCAACACACUUAAACUUUAUUUCUCAUUAACUCGUUUUAGUUUAUUUGUGCACAUCCUCAGCAGUUAACAAUCAAUACACAACUGAGCAGCUGUUCUUCUAAGGGACCGGAAGGGGGAGCUCUCGGGCAGGACGCGUCUGAAGUGGCCUGAGGAAGAAGCAUCAUGGCCGCUCAUCUCAGCUGGUGCCAACAAUACAAUCACCACACCUGGUCCAGAUCAACAAUCAACCCUUCCCCUUUAAAUAGUGCUUUGUUUUUUGUUAGCGAGAGAGGAGGCUUUUUGGAGGAAGCUGUGUCAGAGCUCUGUUGGUUUUUGUUUGGUUUAGCGUAGAUAUUUGCUGUUGCCUUGAUUUAAUUUUGUCUUUAUUAAUUGAGUUGUUAGCUGCCGCCUACGUUUGGUUUUGUCUUUGUGAAUGUUUGUUUGUUGUGCGCACUGGGACAACAAGGACAGGUAAGAUACUCCGGGGUCUACAUAUAACACACACGUAGGUUUACUUCUUGUUAAUACCCCAGGUUAGAGUGAGCACCACCCGCUGUACUUUUGGGUGCUAAGCACCUGUAAAGGGGGGGUGGGUUUUUUUUGUGUUCUUUUCUUUGGUGCCACUGAGAGUCCUUGUUGAUCCCUGUGUUGCGUUGUUUAAAUAAAUACUUUCUUUGCCUUUUA